rnacentral:rRNA from 1 species
GUGCCAGCAGCCGCGGUAAUACGUAGGUGGCAAGCGUUGUCCGGAUUUAUUGGGCGUAAAGCGAGCGCAGGCGGUUUCUUAAGUCUGAUGUGAAAGCCUUCGGCUCAACCGAAGAAGUGCAUCGGAAACUGGGAAACUUGAGUGCAGAAGAGGACAGUGGAACUCCAUGUGUAGCGGUGAAAUGCGUAGAUAUAUGGAAGAACACCAGUGGCGAAGGCGGCUGUCUGGUCUGUAACUGACGCUGAGGCUCGAAAGCAUGGGUAGCAAACAGGAUUAGAUACCCUGGUAGUCCAUGCCGUAAACGAUGAGUGCUAGGUGUUGGAGGGUUUCCGCCCUUCAGUGCCGCAGCUAACGCAUUAAGCACUCCGCCUGGGGAGUACGACCGCAAGGUUGAAACUCAAAGGAAUUGACGGGGGCCCGCACAAGCGGUGGAGCAUGUGGUUUAAUUCGAAGCAACGCGAAGAACCUUACCAGGUCUUGACAUCCUUUGACCACUCUAGAGAUAGAGCUUUCCCUUCGGGGACAAAGUGACAGGUGGUGCAUGGUUGUCGUCAGCUCGUGUCGUGAGAUGUUGGGUUAAGUCCCGCAACGAGCGCAACCCUUAUUACUAGUUGCCAGCAUUUAGUUGGGCACUCUAGUGAGACUGCCGGUGACAAACCGGAGGAAGGUGGGGACGACGUCAAAUCAUCAUGCCCCUUAUGACCUGGGCUACACACGUGCUACAAUGGAUGGUACAACGAGUUGCGAGACCGCGAAGGUUUAGCUAAUCUCUUAAAACCAUUCUCAGUUCGGAUUGUAGGCUGCAACUCGCCUACAUGAAGCCGGAAUCGCUAGUAAUCGCGGAUCAGCAUGCCGCGGUGAAUACGUUCCCGGGCCUUGUACACACCGCCCGU